rnacentral:rRNA from 1 species
CAGCCGCCGCGGGAAUACAGAGGGUGCGAGCGUUAAUCGGAUUUACUGGGCGUAAAGCGUGCGUAGGCGGCUUUUUAAGACGGAUGUGAAAUCCCUGAGCUUAACUUAGGAAUUGCAUUCGAUACUGGGAAGCUAGAGUAUGGGAGAGGAUGGUAGAAUUCCAGGUGUAGCGGUGAAAUGCGUAGAGAUCUGGAGGAAUACCGAUGGCGAAGGCAGCCAUCUGGCCUAAUACUGACGCUGAGGUACGAAAGCAUGGGGAGCAAACAGGAUUAGAUACCCCUGUAGUCCCUGUCUCUUAUAC